GUGUCGCCGCCGCGGUAAUACGUAGGUGGCAAGCGGUGUCCGGAAUUAUUGGGCGUAAAGCGCGCGCAGGUGGUUUCUUAAGUCUGAUGUGAAAGCCCACGGCUUAACCGUGGAGGGUCCUUGGAAACUGGGAGACUUGAGUGCAGAAGAGGAAAGUGGAAUUCCAAGGGUAGCGGGGACAUGCGUAGAAAUUUGGAGAAACACCAGUGGCGAAGGCGACUUUCUGGUCUGCAACUGACGCUGAUGCGCGAAAGCAUGGGGAGCAAACAGGAUUAGAUACCCUGGUAGGCCAUGCCGUAAACGAUGAGUGCUAAGUGUUAGGGGGUUUCCGCCCCUUAGUGCUGCAGCUAACGCAUUAAGCACUCCGGCUGGGGAGUACGAUCGCAAGGUUGAAACUUAAAUGAAUUGACGG
rnacentral:rRNA from 1 species